GUGCUCGCUUUGGCAGCACAUAUUCUAAAAUGGGAACAAUACAGAUAAGAUCGUCAUGGUCCUACACAGGGAUGACAUGCAAAUUCGUGAAACGUUCCCUAUUUUU
rnacentral:snRNA from 1 species